AAGCAAAUUAAUGAGANNNGUAGCUUAAUAAUUUUGUUUUAUAUUUUAGUUUACUAAGGAUAAGCUUAAUAAAAAUAUAGGAGGGAAAUAUAAUUUAUAGGUGAAUUGCUUAGGCUUGAAAUUAGCCAUCGCAGCAGAACUUGUUAUAAAACAAUUCUAUCAAAAAAAAAGAUCUUUAUGUUUUUUACUCUAUUUUGUAAUAAGGAUAAUAGAUAAAAUUAAUAAAUCUAGUUAUUUAUGCUAGAAUGAGUAUUUUAUAGGCUGGUGUAUAGAUAAGUAUUAAAUGGUAUCUAUAGUAAUAUAAUUUUUGAAAAAUUAAAUAAAAAGAAGGAACUCGGCAAAUAUUUAGCUUCGCCUGUUUAUCAAAAACAUGGCUCUUUGUUAUUCUAAUAUAAAGAGUUGGACCUGCCCAGUGAAAUUUUUAACGGCCGCGGUACCCUGACCGUGCAAAGGUAGCAUAAUCAUUUGCCUUAUAAUUGAAGGCUUGCAUGAAUGGUUUGACGAGAGCAUUGCUGUCUCUUUUUUAAUAAAUAGAAUUUGAUCUUUAGGUGAAGAAGCCUAAAUACAAUUGAAAGACAAGAAGACCCUGUCGAGCUUAAAAACAAAUUGGGAAUAAUUAUAGAGAAUAGUCUAGAUCUGCUACUGAUUGUCUUUUUUGGUUGGGGCGACUGAGGAACAACAGAAGCUUCCUUUGUUUAUUCAAACUUAUAGGUAAGGAUCCAGCUAAAGCUGAUUAGAAGAAUUAGUUACCGCAGGGAUAACAGCAUAAUCUCUCUUGAGAGACCUAAUCGAAAGAAGGGGGUUGUGACCUCGAUGUUGGACUAGAAUAUCCUAA
rnacentral:rRNA from 1 species